UUUAUAAUCAAGUGCAAAGUAUUGGAGGAAGUAAGGUCUCCGUUUAUCGACAAACUCAGAUGUUAUAUUCAAGACAUUGCUAGUGGAAUUCUAUUUGAUGAAUUAUUUCAGAGUAAUAACAACUUGCUACAAUUAAUUGUUGACUGCUCAAAGUUUCAUUUCUUAACAAAUCAACAACACGUACACAUUGAGAAAAUUAGUGCUGGAUUAUGCUUUAGCC
rnacentral:lncRNA from 1 species